rnacentral:rRNA from 1 species
GAGACCCACGCCCACAGUUGCCAGCGUACUCUCUGGAGUGACGGGUACACUGUGGGGACCGCCGCUGCUAAAGCGGAGGAAGGAAUGGGCAACGGUAGGUCAGUAUGCCCCGAAUAUCCCGGGCUACACGCGAGCUACAAUGGUUGGUACAAUGGGUAUCUACCCCGAAAGGGGAUGGAAAUCUCCUAAAGCCAAUCUUAGUUCGGAUUGAGGGCUGCAACUCGCCCUCAUGAAGCUGGAAUCCGUAGUAAUCGCGUUUCAACAGAACGCGGUGAAUAC